rnacentral:tRNA from 1 species
GCGAAGGUGGUGGAAUUGGUAGACACGCUGGUCUCAGAAGCCAGUGGGCGAAAGCCUGUGGGGGUUCAAGUCCCCCCCCUCGCACCA